GAUGAACGCUGGCGGCGUGCCUAAUACAUGCAAGUCGAGCGAACAGACGAGGAGCUUGCUCCUCUGACGUUAUCGGCGGACGGGUGAGUAACACGUGGAUAACCUACCUAUAAGACUGGGAUAACUUCGGGAAACCGUAGCUAAUACCGGAUAAUAUAUUGAACCGCAUGGUUCAAUAGUUAAAGACGGUUUUUCUUUCACUAAUAGCUUGAUCCGCGCCGCAUUAGCUAGUUGGUAAGGUAACGGCUUACCAAGGCAACGAUGCGAAGCCGACCUGAAAGGGUGAUCGGCCACACUGGAAGUGAGACACGGUCCAGACUCCUACGGGAGGCAGCAGUAGGGAAUCUUCCGCAAUGGACGAGAGCCUGACGGAGCAACGCCGCGUGAGUGAUGAAGGUCUUCGGAUCGUAAAACUCUGUUAGUAGGAAAGAACAAAUGUGUAAGUAACUGUGCACAUAUUGACGGUACCUAAUCAGAAAGCCACGGCUAACUACGUG
rnacentral:rRNA from 1 species